rnacentral:rRNA from 1 species
GACGAACGCUGGCGGCGUGCCUAAUACAUGCAAGUGAAGUUCAGUGGCGGACGGGUGAGUAACACGUGGGUAACCUGCCCUCCUUUUUGGGAUAAGCCUUGGAAACGGGGUCUAAUACCGCAUAAAGGGGGAUGGGCUCGCGGCCUUUCAGCGUGUUGGUGGGGUGAUGGGCUAACAAGGCGGUGACGGGUAGCCGGCGUGAGAGGGUGACCGGCCACAUUGGGACGGGGAGACGGCCCAGAGUCCGACGGGAGGCAGCAGGGGGGGAUAGGGCACAAGGGGCGAAAGACUGAUGCGGCGACGCCGCGUGGGGGAUGAAGGCUUUCGGGUUGUAAACCUCUUUCGCUAGCGAACGGGUAGGUGGAGAAGAAGCGCCGGCUAACUACGUGCCAGCAGCCGCGGUAAUUC